rnacentral:rRNA from 1 species
UACGUAGGGGCAAGCGUUAUCCGGAAUCAUUGGGCGUAAAGGGUGCGUAGGCGGCCCUAUAGGUCAGAGGUCAAAGGCUACGGCUCAACCGUAGUAAGCCUUUGAAACUGUAGGGCUUGAGUGCAGGAGAGGAGAGUGGAAUUCCUAGUGUAGCGGUGAAAUGCGUAGAUAUUAGGAGGAACACCAGUGGCGAAGGCGACUCUCUGGACUGCAACUGACGCUGAGGCACGAAAGCGUGGGUAGUGAACAGGAUUAGAUACCCUGGUA